GAGUUUGAUCCUGGCUCAGAAUUAACGCUGAUGGUAUGCCUAAUACAUGCAAGUCGAGCGAACCCCCUCGGGGGUUAGCGGCGAACGGGUGAGUAAUACAUAUCUAACAUACUCUGAAGAAGGGGAUAGCCGUUUGAAAAAGCGAUUAAUACCCUAUAAUUAGCCCCCCGCAUAAGCGGGAGGCUUGAAAGGAGCAAUCCGCUUUGGAAUUGGGAUAUGGUCUAUUAGCUAGUUGGCGGGAUAAAAGCCCCCCAAGGCGAUGAUAGAUAGCUGGAUUGAGAAGUCGAACAGCCACAAUGGGAUUGAGAUACGGCCCAUAUUCCUACGGGAAGCAGCAGUAGGGGAUCUUCCACAAUGGGCGAAAGCCUGAUGGAGCAAUACCAUGUGAACGACGAAGGUCUUAUUGAUUGUAAAGUUCUUUUAAGAGGGAUAAACAAGAUGGUACCUCUUGAAUAAGUGACAGCAAACUAUGUGCCAGCAGCUGCGGUAAUACAUAGGUCGCGAGCGUUAUUCGGAUUUAUUGGGCGUAAAGAGAGCGCAGGCGGAUGGAUAAGUUCUGUGUGAAAGGUAGCCGCUCAACGGUUACUUGCGCCGAAUACUGUCUGUCUAGAAUACGGUAGGGAGGUUCGGAAUUGAAUGUGGAGCGGUGGAAUGUGUAGAUAUAUUCAAGAACACCAGAGGCGAAGGCGGAACCUUAGGCCGAUAUUGACGCUUAGGCUCGAAAGUGUGGGGAGCAAAUGGGAUUAGAUACCCCAGUAGUCCACACCGUAAACGAUGGAUAUUUGAUGUUGGGAGUUGAGAGUCUCAGCGUUGUAGCUUACGUGUUAAAUAUCCCGCCUGGGUAGUACAUAUGCAAAUAUGAAACUCAAAGGAAUUGACGGGGACCUGAACAAGUGGUGGAACAUGUUGCUUAAUUCGAUAAUACACGAAAAACCUUACCAAGAUUUGACAUCCCCCGCAAAGGUAUAGAAAUAUACUGGAGGUUAUCGGGGUGACAGGUGGUGCAUGGUUGUCGUCAGCUCGUGUCUUGAGAUGUUUGGUUAAGUCCCGCAACGAGCGCAACCCUACUCUCUAGUUAGUAUGUUUAGAGAGACUGAACAGAAAUGUAUAGGAAGGAUAGGAUCACGUCAAAUCAUCAUGCCCCUUAUGUCUUGGGCUGCAAACGUGUUACAAUGGCUAGUACAGCGUGCUCGCAAACCAGCGAUGGUAAGCUAAUCACUAAAAGCUAGCCCCAGUUCGGAUUAAAGGCUGCAAUUCGCCUUUAUGAAGUUGGAAUCACUAGUAAUCCCGUGUCAGCUAUAUCGGGGUGAAUACGUCCCAAGGUCUUGUACACACCGCCCGUCAAACUAUGAGAGGGGGGGGCAUUUGAAACCGCAUUUAUUUGCGUCUAGAGUGAAUCCCCUGAUUGGAGUUAAGUCGUAACAAGGUACCCGUACGAGAACGUGCGGGUGGAUAAUCAUCUAUUUGAGGCUCUUCUUAUUUAGGAAGAGUAGAGGAAUCGGGAAUAAUUUGAGGGAGCUCUCCUGAUUGUGUUGGAGAGAGGAUACUCAAAGCGGAUGGCUUUUCGGUUUUGAGAGAAUUACCUUCUUUUUUUAAGAAAGGAAAGAAAGAAUGUUUCUCUUAAAGAUUGAUUUUUGAAAGGCUAAUCAAUAGAAAAAUACAAAUAAUAGAUAACCGAGAUAACUUAGAAGUAAGUUAUUCAUACGUUAAUAAUGUAAGGGUUAGAGGUGAAUUGCUUGGAAAUGAAAGGCGAUGAAGGACGUGCAAAUCUGCGAUAAGCUGGGGGGAGCUGAUAAGGAGCUUCGAUCCCUAGAUCUCCGAAUGUAGAAAUACAAGAUUCUAGAACGGAAUCUUAGCUAUGCAUGAAUCAAUAGUGCAUAGGGGCGAACCUGGCGAAGUGAAACAUCUCAGUAGCCAGAGGAAAAGAAAACGAAUGUGAUUCCCUAAGUAGUGGUGAGCGAAAGGGGAAAAGGACAAACCAGCCGAAAGGCUGGGGUUGUAGGACUCAAUCAUGGACUACAGCGAUCAGGAGAAUGUUUUGGAAAAAACUACCAUAGAGGGCGACCGUCCCGUAUCCGAAAAUCCGCUGUUACCUAUGAGUAUCCUGAGUAGGGCGGGACACGUGUAAUCCUGUCUGAAUCUGCCCAGACCAUUGGGUAAUCCUAAAUACUAAUCAUUUACCGAUAGUGAAACCAGUACCGUGAGGGAAANCUUAAAAGAACCCAGAAGUGGGAGUGAAA
rnacentral:rRNA from 1 species